GGGCAAUUUGAUGGACAAGCAAGCUUUGAAGUGGACAUUGGUAACCUUAAGAUGAACACGAAUUACAGAGUCACUGUUGGAGCGUAUGGUUGGGCAGGGGAGGGUAGACCCAGCAUGCCCCGAGACAUCAGCACAGCUCCACAUGACAUGUGCAUGCCCCCAUCGCCCCCCACUCAGCCUGUUGUCAUGGCUGUAUCUGACACAGAGCUGGCGUUGUCAUGGCAGCAAGGAGAGAGUGAGGGAAGCGCACCUGUCCUUCACU